rnacentral:rRNA from 1 species
CCUACGGGAGGCAGCAGUGAGGAAUAUUGGACAAUGGGCGCAAGCCUGAUCCAGCCAUGCCGCGUGCAGGAUGACGGUCCUAUGGAUUGUAAACUGCUUUUGCACAGGAAGAAACAACGCUACGUGUAGCGUCUUGACGGUACUGUGAGAAUAAGGAUCGGCUAACUCCGUGCCAGCAGCCGCGGUAAUACGGAGGAUCCAAGCGUUAUCCGGAAUCAUUGGGUUUAAAGGGUCCGUAGGCGGUUUAGUAAGUCAGUGGUGAAAGCCCAUCGCUCAACGGUGGAACGGCCAUUGAUACUGCUAGACUUGAAUUAUUAGGAAGUAACUAGAAUAUGUAGUGUAGCGGUGAAAUGCUUAGAGAUUACAUGGAAUACCAAUUGCGAAGGCAGGUUACUACUAAUGGAUUGACGCUGAUGGACGAAAGCGUGGGUAGCGAACAGGAUUAGAUACCCUGGUAGUCCACGCCGUAAACGAUGGAUACUAGCUGUUGGGAGCGAUCUCAGUGGCUAAGCGAAAGUGAUAAGUAUCCCACCUGGGGAGUACGUUCGCAAGAAUGAAACUCAAAGGAAUUGACGG